CCUUGUCUGACCAAGACUCCAACUUCGAUUUGGAGCCAGAUUUUCAGCUUAUUCUCUCUUCAUUUGGCCCUCUAUUUGAAGGGGAUCCACCUCUCCCUUGAAGCUGACAACUUCAACCAAGCUUUCCUUCCUCUUCUUCCUAAAUCUUUUCUAAGAUGCUUGUUAUUAAGCUUGCUGUGUUCGUCAGAAAUUAAAGUUAAUCAUUGCUGGAAAUAAAGUAAGAAUCUCUUGCAUCUUUCACUAAUC
rnacentral:lncRNA from 1 species